AUGAACGCUGGCGGCGUGCUUACACAUGCAAGUCGAGCGAAGCGGUUCAAUGAAGUUUUCGGAUGGAUUUGAGAUUGACUGAGCGGCGGACGGGUGAGUAACGCGUGGGUAACCUGCCUUACACUGGGGGAUAACAGUUAGAAAUGACUGCUAAUACCGCAUAAGCGCACAGUAUCGCAUGAUACGGUGUGAAAAACUCCGGUGGUACAAGAUGGACCCGCGUCUGAUUAGCUAGUUGGUAAGGUAACGGCUUACCAAGGCGACGAUCAGUAGCCGACCUGAGAGGGUGACCGGCCACAUUGGGACUGAGACACGGCCCAAACUCCUACGGGAGGCAGCAGUGGGGAAUAUUGCACAAUGGGCGAAAGCCUGAUGCAGCGACGCCGCGUGAGUGAAGAAGUAUUUCGGUAUGUAAAGCUCUAUCAGCAGGGAAGAAAAUGACGGUACCUGACUAAGAAGCCCCGGCUAACUACGUGCCAGCAGCCGCGGUAAUACGUAGGGGGCAAGCGUUAUCCGGAUUUACUGGGUGUAAAGGGAGCGUAGACGGUAAAGCAAGUCUGAAGUGAAAGCCCGCGGCUCAACUGCGGGACUGCUUUGGAAACUGUUUAACUGGAGUGUCGGAGAGGUAAGUGGAAUUCCUAGUGUAGCGGUGAAAUGCGUAGAUAUUAGGAGGAACACCAGUGGCGAAGGCGACUUACUGGACGAUAACUGACGUUGAGGCUCGAAAGCGUGGGGAGCAA
rnacentral:rRNA from 1 species